GGAGAUGGCGCUUGCGAGCGCUGCAAGUUUAUCUUUGAUCCUGGAGGCUGCUGUUGCUGGCUGAAUCGGCAGUCUGCUAAGUUGAGGUAUCUUUGGCUCGACCACACCCUCUAGCAUUUGUACUAUUCUGCUCAUCUUCGGUCGCUGUACAGGGUCCUCUUGAAUGCAGCACAGCGCUGUUCGGAUUGACCGCUUCGCAUCGUCUCCGUAAAAGUACUCGAUUUCCUCCUGGAGGCGGUCGUCAACCAGUUCUAGUGUUCGGCCUUCUUCCACCAUGCGGACGGCCCAGGCCGGUAAGUACCACUGCUCCGAGCCUUUGGUUAAGUCGAUUGUCUCCCGUCCACAGAUGAGCUCCAGCAACACCAUACCAAAGCUGUAGACAUCGGCUUUGGUGGUGACGGAGGACUGAUGCAUCCAUUCUGGAGCAAGGUAGCCUGGCGUUCCUCUCAUGUUGGUGAUGACCUUGCUUUUGUCUCUGUCGAUCAGUUUUGAGAGGCCGAAGUCGGCAACCUACACAGCGCCAGAGGUAAGACUUGAGAAAAGAAUAGACUUCUAACCUUUGCUACAAAGUUGUUAUCUAGGAGGAUGUUCUCUGGCUUCACGUCCAAAUGAAUAAUCUGCUGGUUGCAUUCCUCAUGAAGGUACGCUAGUCCUUUCGCUGUUCCAACAGCAAUGCUAAAACGUUUUGGCCAGUCAAGGAUACCUCCUUUUCCUGCGGGCAUGAAAACGAGAACAUGAAUCGUUUUGCUUGCGAAGAAACAGAGAUCACGUACCUGGAGCUGAAAACAACCAUCUAUCCAGCGAGCCAUUUGGCAUAAAGUCGUAAACAAGAACUCGAUGCUUCUUUUCGGCACAGAAUCCCCUGAGUUGCAGUAUGUUGACGUGACGGACGCUAGCCAUGGUAUUCAUCUCCGCUUUGAAUUCCUUCUCACCUUGAGUUGAGGUUUGUUCCAGGACUUUGACGGCCACUUUGCUUCCGUCCUUGAGGCAUCCCUCGUACACACCUCCAAAGCCGCCGUCACCCAGCUGCUUGGCAAAGUUUUCGGUGAUCUUUCUGAGGCUGCUGAAUGAGAACUUUUGCGGGAUAACCGAUGGGAAGAGGUUUUUGAUCUCGGGCUUGGAAGAAGGCUUGGCUUGAGGUGCCUU
rnacentral:lncRNA from 1 species